GGCCGCCCCGCGGGGGGGCAGGUGGAGCCGCCAGACCCCCGUGGGGACGGGAUGGGCCGGGGGGCACCGGCCCUGUGCCCCCCGCCCUUCUGUACGGGAACCCACCGCAGCCCCUGGCGCUGCCUGGCGGGGGCGGCCAGCCGGGGAAGGAAGGGGGGAGUCCGUCUCUCCUGCCCCCGGCUGCCGCCCCGCUACCGCGGCGGCCCCCGGCGCUGCGCGACGCUGGAGGGGAGAGAGGGGCGAGCGCUACGCGUUUAUUAGCGGGAAGGCGGGCGGGCUGUGGCAGAAGAUGUCGGCGGGGUGGGCGGGAAGGCGGCGGGCGGGCGGCUGAAAGGCGCUUUCUCUGCGCGGUGCCGGAGCGCGGAGGGAUACGACGCACGGGGAGGAGGAGGGGCUGCGACGGCCGCGGGGCAGCGGCGACUGGCGGCGGCGACGGCGGCGCUGGAAGUUCCCGAGUUCCAGCGUCGCAAGAAUGGGAAGCGAACGAAGCCAAAAUGCCCCUGGGGAGCGCGGCCCCGCUGGGGAGAUCCGGUGCUUCCACACCCCCCGCUUGCCGCGGCUCCCCCGUAGCCCAGCCCGCUCCCUCGGAGCCAGCCGUGGACGCCAGGGCGCUGCCAGGGGCUUUGGCAUCUGCGCGAGCGGUGGGCAAGAGGAGGAGUGUUGUCAACGCGAGGACGAGCGAUGGAUGGUGAUGCCUGCAACCUAUGGCUGAACUGGAGGUUUUAGAGUACCAGAGACAAGAAGUGUGAUCAGACUGCAAACGAUCCCUGCACAUACGUGAUGCUGGUUACAUUUUUUUGUUUGCUUCCUUGUUUUUAACCUAAUACUAGUGUAAGAUGAAGACUGGCACAUGUGACUCCCUUUUCCCAG
rnacentral:lncRNA from 13 species